AUUGAACGCUGGCGGCAGGCCUAACACAUGCAAGUCGAGCGGAUGAAGGGAGCUUUCUCCUGUAUUCAGCGGCGGACGGGUGAGUAAUUCCUAGGAAUCUGCCUUGUCUUUGGGGAUAACGUCCGUUCACGGGCCCUAAUACCGCAUCCGUUCUGAUGGUGAAAGUGGUGGAUCUUCAGACCUCACGCUAUUUGCUGUCCCUGGUUCGGAUUAGCUAGUUGGUUGGGUAAAGGCCUACCAAGGCGACGAUCCGUAACUGAUCUGAGAGGAUGAUCAGUCACACUGGAACUGAGACACGGUCCAGACUCCUACGGGAGGCAGCAGUAGGGAAUAUUGGGCAAUGGGCGAAAGCCUGAUGCAGCCAUGCCGCGUGUGUGAAGAAGGUCUUCGGAUUGUAAAGCACUUUAAGUAGGGAGGAAGGAAAGUAAGUGAAUACCUGGCUGUUUUGACGGUACCAACAGAAUAAGCACCGGCUAACUUCGUG
rnacentral:rRNA from 1 species